rnacentral:rRNA from 1 species
UCGACCUGAGCUCAGGCAAGACUACCCGCUGAACUUAAGCAUAUCAAUAAGCGGAGGAAAA